GGUCAAGCGAACAAGUGCAUGUGGUGGAUGCCUUGGCGAUCACAGGCGAUGAAGGACGCGGUAGCCUGCGAAAAGCGACGGGGAGCUGGCAAACGAGCUUUGAUCCGUCGAUGUCCGAAUGGGGAAACCCACCUCUUUUGAGGUAUCCGUAACUGAAUACAUAGGUUACGUGAAGCGAACGCGGUGAACUGAAACAUCUAAGUAACCGCAGGAAAAGAAAUCAACCGAGAUUCCCAGAGUAGUGGCGAGCGAAAUGGGACCAGCCUGUACUCUUUAUUCUUACUGUUAGCCGAAAGCUCUGGAAAGUGCUGCCAUAGCAGGUGAUAGCCCUGUAGGCGAAAACAGUUUGAAAGAACUAGGUGUACGACAAGUAGGGCGGGACACGUGAAAUCCUGUCUGAAGAUGGGGGGACCAUCCUCCAAGGCUAAAUACUCGUGAUCGACCGAUAGUGAACCAGUACCGUGAGGGAAAGGCGAAAAGAACCCCGGGAGGGGAGUGAAAUAGAUCCUGAAACCGCAUGCAUACAAACAGUCGGAGCCUUUGAAAGAGGGUGACGGCGUACCUUUUGUAUAAUGGGUCAGCGACUUACAUUCAGUGGCAAGCUUAACCGAUUAGGGCAGGCGUAGCGAAAGCGAGUCCGAACAGGGCGUUCAGUCGCUGGGUGUAGACCCGAAACCAGGUGAUCUAUCCAUGGCCAGGAUGAAGGUGCGGUAACACGUACUGGAGGUCCGAACCCACUAACGUUGAAAAGUUAGGGGAUGAGCUGUGGAUAGGGGUGAAAGGCUAAACAAACCUGGAAAUAGCUGGUUCUCUCCGAAAACUAUUUAGGUAGUGCCUCGUGUAUCACCUUCGGGGGUAGAGCACUGUCAUGGUUGUGGGGUCCAUUGCGGAUUACUACGCCAUAGCAAACUCCGAAUACCGAAGAGUGCAAUCACGGGAGACAGACAUCGGGUGCUAACGUCCGGUGUCAAGAGGGAAACAACCCAGACCGCCAGCUAAGGUCCCCAAAUAUUGCUAAGUGGGAAACGAAGUGGGAAGGCUAAAACAGUCAGGAGGUUGGCUUAGAAGCAGCCAUCCUUUAAAGAAAGCGUAAUAGCUCACUGAUCGAGUCGUCCUGCGCGGAAGAUGUAACGGGGCUAAGCAAUAUACCGAAGCUGCGGAUGCACAUUUAUGUGCAUGGUAGGAGAGCGUUCCGUAAGCCUGCGAAGGUGCAUUGAAAAGUGCGCUGGAGGUAUCGGAAGUGCGAAUGCUGACAUGAGUAGCGAUAAAGGGGGUGAAAGGCCCCCUCGCCGUAAGCCCAAGGUUUCCUACGCAACGUUCAUCGGCGUAGGGUGAGUCGGCCCCUAAGGCGAGGCAGAAAUGCGUAGCUGAUGGGAAGCAGGUUAAUAUUCCUGCACCAUUGUUAAAUGCGAUGGGGGGACGGAUCGCGGAAGGUUGUCCGGGUGUUGGAAGUCCCGGUCCUUGCAUUGGAGAAGGCGCUCAGGCAAAUCCGGGCGCGGAAUUCAAGGGUGCGAGGCCAUUCACUUCGGUGAAGAAGCAACUGGAAGUGGUUCCAAGAAAAGCCUCUAAGCUUCAGUUUAACAAGACCGUACCGCAAACCGACACAGGUGGGCGAGAUGAGUAUUCUAAGGCGCUUGAGAGAACUCGGGAGAAGGAACUCGGCAAAUUGGUACCGUAACUUCGGGAUAAGGUACGCCCCUGUAGCUUGACUGGCCUGCGCCAGAAGGGUGAAGGGGUUGCAAUAAACUGGUGGCUGCGACUGUUUAAUAAAAACACAGCACUCUGCAAACACGAAAGUGGACGUAUAGGGUGUGACGCCUGCCCGGUGCCGGAAGAUUAAAUGAUGGGGUGCAAGCUCUUGAUUGAAGUCCCGGUAAACGGCGGCCGUAACUAUAACGGUCCUAAGGUAGCGAAAUUCCUUGUCGGGUAAGUUCCGACCUGCACGAAUGGCGUAACGAUGGCCACACUGUCUCCUCCCGAGACUCAGCGAAGUUGAAGUGUUUGUGAUGAUGCAAUCUCCCCGCGGCUAGACGGAAAGACCCCAUGAACCUUUACUGUAGCUUUGCAUUGGACUUUGAACCGAUCUGUGUAGGAUAGGUGGGAGGCUAUGAAGCGUGGACGCCAGUCUGCGUGGAGCCGUCCUUGAAAUACCACCCUGGUUUGUUUGAGGUUCUAACCUUGGUCCGUGAUCCGGAUCGGGGACAGUGCAUGGUAGGCAGUUUGACUGGGGCGGUCUCCUCCCAAAGUGUAACGGAGGAGUACGAAGGUACGCUAGGUACGGUCGGAAAUCGUGCUGAUAGUGCAAUGGCAUAAGCGUGCUUAACUGCGAGACCGACAAGUCGAGCAGGUGCGAAAGCAGGUCAUAGUGAUCCGGUGGUUCUGUAUGGAAGGGCCAUCGCUCAACGGAUAAAAGGUACUCUGGGGAUAACAGGCUGAUACCGCCCAAGAGUUCAUAUCGACGGCGGUGUUUGGCACCUCGAUGUCGGCUCAUCUCAUCCUGGGGCUGUAGCCGGUCCCAAGGGUAUGGCUGUUCGCCAUUUAAAGAGGUACGUGAGCUGGGUUUAAAACGUCGUGAGACAGUUUGGUCCCUAUCUGCCGUGGGCGCUGGAUAUUUGAAGGGGGCUGCUCCUAGUACGAGAGGACCGGAGUGGACGAACCUCUGGUGUACCGGUUGUCACGCCAGUGGCAUCGCCGGGUAGCUAUGUUCGGAAGAGAUAACCGCUGAAAGCAUCUAAGCGGGAAACUCGCCUUAAGAUGAGAUAUCCCCGGGGCUUCGAGCCCCUUGAAGGGUCGUUCAAGACCAGGACGUUGAUAGGUCAGGUGUGGAAGCGCAGUAAUGCGUUAAGCUAACUGAUACUAAUUGCCCGUAAGGCUUGAUCCU
rnacentral:rRNA from 2 species